rnacentral:rRNA from 1 species
UACGUAGGGGGCAAGCGUUGUCCGGAAUCAUUGGGCGUAAAGAGCGCGUAGGCGGCCCAGCAAGUCCGCUCUGAAAGUCAGGGGCUCAACCCCUGAAUGCGGGUGGAUACUACUGGGCUAGAGUCCGGAAGAGGCGAGUGGAAUUCCUGGUGUAGCGGUGAAAUGCGCAGAUAUCAGGAGGAACACCAAUGGCGAAGGCAGCUCGCUGGGACGUGACUGACGCUGAGACGCGAAAGCGUGGGGAGCGAACAGA